GUGUCAGCCGCCGCGGUAAUACGAAGGGGGCUAGCGUUGCUCGGAAUUACUGGGCGUAAAGCGCACGUAGGCGGCUCGUUAAGUCGGUGGUGAAAUCCUGGAGCUCAACUCCAGAACUGCCUUCGAUACUGGCUAGCUUGAGUUCGGGAGAGGUGAGUGGAACUGCGAGUGUAGAGGUGAAAUUCGUAGAUAUUCGCAAGAACACCAGUGGCGAAGGCGGCCAACUGGUCCGAUACUGACGCUGAGGCGCGAAAGCGUGGGGAGCGAACAGGAUUAGAUACCCUCGUAGUCC
rnacentral:rRNA from 1 species